UACGGAGGGGGCUAGCGUUGUUCGGAAUUAUUGGGCGUAAAGAGCUCGUAGGUGGCUUGUCACGUCUGCUGUGAAAACUCGGGGCUCAACCCCGAGCCUGCAGUGGAUACGGGCUAGCUAGAGUGCGGUAGGGGAGACUGGAAUUCCUGGUGUAGCGGUGAAAUGCGCAGAUAUCAGGAGGAACACCGGUGGCGAAGGCGGGUCUCUGGACCGAUACUGACACUGAGGAGCGAAAGCGUGGGGAGCGAACAGG
rnacentral:rRNA from 1 species